rnacentral:rRNA from 1 species
UACAGAGGGGGCAAGCGUUGUUCGGAAUUACUGGGCGUAAAGGGCUCGUAGGCGGCCAACUAAGUCGGAUGUGAAAUCCCCAGGCUUAACCUGGGAACUGCAUCCGAUACUGGAUGGCUUGAAUCCGGGAGAGGGAUGCAGAAUUCCAGGUGUAGCGGUGAAAUGCGUAGAUAUCUGGAGGAAUACCGGUGGCGAAGGCGGCAUCCUGGACCGGCAUUGACGCUGAAGCGCGAAAGCUAGGGGAGCGAACGGG